rnacentral:rRNA from 1 species
GUGCCAGCCGCCGCGGUAAUACGUAGGCAGCAAGCGUUGUUCGGAGUUACUGGGCGUAAAGGGUGCGUAGGCGGCCCUUCAAGUUUGUCGUGAAAUCUCCCGGCUUAACCGGGAGGGUGCGGCGAAGACUGAGGGGCUGGAGUGCGGGAGAGGAGAGUGGAAUUCCUGGUGUAGCGGUGAAAUGCGUAGAUAUCAGGAGGAACACCGGCGGUGUAGACGGCUCUCUGGACCGUAACUGACGCUGAGGCACGAAAGCGUGGGUAGCAAACAGGAUUAGAUACCCUCGUAGUCC